rnacentral:rRNA from 1 species
AGCGGCGGACGGGUGAGUAACGCGUGGGUAACCUGCCUCAUACACAUGGAUAACAUACCGAAAGGUAUGCUAAUACAAGAUGAUAUAAGAGAUUCACAUGGAUUUCUUAUCAAAGCUCCGGCGGUAUGAGAUGGACCCGCGUCUGAUUAGCUAGUUGGUAUGGUAACGGCUUACCAAGGCGACGAUCAGUAGCCGACCUGAGAGGGUGAUCGGCCACAUUGGAACUGAGACACGGUCCAAACUCCUACGGGAGGCAGCAGUGGGGAAUAUUGCACAAUGGGCGAAAGCCUGAUGCAGCAACGCCGCGUGAGUGAUGAAGGCCUUCGGGUCGUAAAGCUCUGUCCUCAAGGAAGAUAAUGACGGUACUUGAGGAGGAAGCCCCGGCUAACUACGUGCCAGCAGCCGCGGUAAUACGUAGGGGGCUAGCGUUAUCCGGAUUUACUGGGCGUAAAGGGUGCGUAGGUGGUUUCUUAAGUCAGGAGUGAAAGGCUACGGCUCAACCGUAGUAAGCUCUUGAAACUGGGAAACUUGAGUGCAGGAGAGGAAAGUGGAAUUCCUAGUGUAGCGGUGAAAUGCGUAGAUAUUAGGAGGAACACCAGUAGCGAAGGCGGCUUUCUGGACUGUAACUGACACUGAGGCACGAAAGCGUGGGGAGCAAACAGGAUUAGAUACCCUGGUAGUCCACGCCGUAAACGAUGAGUACUAGGUGU